rnacentral:rRNA from 1 species
AGGAUGAACGCUAGCGGCAGGCUUAACACAUGCAAGUCGAGGGGCAUCGGGAGUAGCAAUACUUGCCGGCGACCGGCGCAAGGGUGCGUAACGCGUGAGCAACAUGCCCGUAUCAGGGGGGAUAAUCCAUGGAAACGUGGUCUAAUACCCCAUAGUAAUUAUGUAAGGCAUCUUAUAUAAUUUAAAGCUUUGGUGGAUACGGAUUGGCUCGCGUGACAUUAGCUGGAUGGUAAGGUAACGGCUUACCAUGGCUACGAUGUCUAGGGGUUCUGAGAGGAAGGUCCCCCACACUGGAACUGAGACACGGUCCAGACUCCUACGGGAGGCAGCAGUGAGGAAUAUUGGACAAUGGAUGGAAAUCUGAUCCAGCCAUGCCGCGUGCAGGAAGAACCGGCCCUAUGGGUUGUAAACUGCUUUUGUAUGGGAGCAAUAAGGGCUACGUGUAGUCCGAUGAGAGUACCAUACGAAUAAGCACCGGCUAACUCCGUGCCAGCAGCAGC